UACAGAGGUCCCAAGCGUUGUUCGGAUUCACUGGGCGUAAAGGGUGCGUAGGCGGUCGGGUAAGUCUGAUGUGAAAUCUCACAGCUUAACUGUGAAACUGCAUUGGAUACUAUUCGGCUUGAGAGUUGGAGGGGGGACUGGAAUUCUUGGUGUAGCAGUGAAAUGCGUAGAUAUCAAGAGGAACACCAGUGGCGAAGGCGAGUCCCUGGACAACUUCUGACGCUGAGGCACGAAAGCUAGGGGAGCAAACAAG
rnacentral:rRNA from 1 species